rnacentral:misc_RNA from 1 species
UCUCCGUAGGUGAACCUGCGGAGGGAUCAUUACAAGUGACCCCGGUCUAACCACCGGGAUGUUCAUAACCCUUUGUUGUCCGACUCUGUUGCCUCCGGGGCGACCCGGCCUUCGGGCGUCGGGGCCCCGGGUGGACCAUUCAAACACUGCAUCUUUGCGUCUGAGUACACGAUUGAAUCAAUCAAAACUUUCAACAACGGAUCUCUUGGUUCUGGCAUCGAGAAGAACGCAGC